CGCCUACGGGGCGCAGCAGUGAGGAAUAUUGGUCAAUGGCCGAGAGGCUGAACCAGCCAAGUCGCGUGAGGGAAGACGGCCCUACGGGUUGUAAACCUCUUUUGUCGGGGAGCAAAGCGAACCACGUGUGGUUCAUUGAGAGUACCCGAAGAAAAAGCAUCGGCUAACUCCGUGCCAGCAGCCGCGGUAAUACGGAGGAUGCGAGCGUUAUCCGGAUUUAUUGGGUUUAAAGGGUGCGUAGGCGGAUUUUUAAGUCAGCGGUAAAAUGUCCGGGCUCAACCCGGGCCGGCCGUUGAAACUGGGGG
rnacentral:rRNA from 1 species